GUCUGACAGACAUUGCUGACCUUGACAUUUUACACCACAAAAAAUUCAAACAUUAAAAUAUCAGAAAUUAGCCAUCAUUGAAUCUCAUUAUUAAAUAUUUUGAUGCAAAACAGUACUAGUUCAAUGUUAAACCAUUUCCAGAGACAGAAGUUAGUAACGUUUUGAAGUUUAUGAGAAAUAAAAAUCGAAUAUUCACCCCGUUUUUUAUGUCUUUUUUUUCAAGUUAUAUUACUUUGUAAAAUAAGUUUAGCACAAGAAUUGGUCAAACAAUUAUGCUGUUUAAGUGCUCCACUUGUUUACAAAUUGAAAUUAACAAUUAAAUAAAUGCUUUAUCCUCCAGCAUUAUGCCACUUGAAAAAUUUUGGACGCCAUUUUGUAUUUUUUCAGUAUGGAAACCGGUUUUGUUUAUGAAAUUAAACGUAAGAUAGAUGUCGUCAUUUGCAGGGAUCGUUUUAUCUUUUGCAACUAAACUUACAGAAUUGGUACCCGUUCUCCAUUUGAUAAAGAUAGGAUAAAAACGGUAGCAGUAAUGGCGGCUAGAAUGAUGGCAGAGAAUUUUGUUUUGUAUUGAAUUUUACAUAAAGUAUUCACCAUCAGACUGCAAUACUAGGCCAUCAUCAUCAUCAUCGUCAGCUCCAAACAACAGACCUAAGCCAUCAACAUCUACAGACGCUUUAUAUGACAAAAAAACGGUCAAGAAGUCAAGUUCUUCAUCUGUAACAAAUGUUAAAAGUCCUACAAAACAAAAGAAAAUCAACCUGUAUCACCUCAAAGAUAUAGCAGAUCAAGGCGUUCAACUUGUAUGAAAUUUGUUGGUAGAAGAAUUCUUCAUAAAUGGGAAACUGAUGUAGGUCAAGAAGAGUGGUACUCAGGAAUUGUUAUUGGUGUCUCCAGAGGGAAAGAUGGAAAUAAAAAUGCUGUUUACCAAGUGCAGUAUAAAAAUGAAAAUGACAUUUAUGAUGUAGAAGAACUGUAUAAAGAUUAUGAGGAGGGGAAUUUG